rnacentral:rRNA from 1 species
GACGAACCGUGCGAACGUUGUUCGGAAUCACUGGGCUUAAAGGGCGCGUAGGCGGGCCGACAAGUCAGGGGUGAAAUCCUCCAGCUUAACUGGAGAACUGCCUUUGAUACUGGCGGUCUGGAGUAAGGUAGGGGCAUGCGGAACUGAUGGUGGAGCGGUGAAAUGCGUAGAGAUCGGAAAGAACACCAACGGCGAAAGCACUCUGCUGGGCCGACACUGACACGGAGAGACGAAAGCUAGGGGAGCGAAUGGG